UGAGUCGGCUGGACGGCCGCGGCGGGUCCCACCGGACCCGGCGAGGAAAGUCCGGGCUCCACAGAGCAGGGUGGUGGGUAACACCCACCCGGGGUGACCUGCGGGAAAGUGCCACAGAAAACAAACCGCCGCACUUAAGUGCGGUAAGGGUGAAACGGUGGUGUAAGAGACCACCAGCGCCCGGGGUGACCCGGGUGGCUAGGCAAACCCCACCCGGAGCAAGGCCAGACAGGCGGCGGGUAGCUCGCCCUUACCGCCGGGUAGGCCGCUGGAGGCCCCUGGCAACAAGGGUCCUAGAUGGAUGGCCGUCUUGAAUGACAGAACCCGGCUUACAGGCCGGCUCAUCCG
rnacentral:RNase_P_RNA from 1 species